rnacentral:rRNA from 1 species
GAACGCAUCCGUGGGGAUUAGUGGCGAACGGGUGAGUAACACGUGGGCAAUCUGCCCUGCACUCUGGGACAAGCCCUGGAAACGGGGUCUAAUACCGGAUACUGAUCCUCGCAGGCAUCUGCGAGGUUCGAAAGCUCCGGCGGUGCAGGAUGAGCCCGCGGCCUAUCAGCUAUUUGGUGAGGUAACGGCUCACCAAGGCAACAACUGGUAGCCGGCCUGAAAGGGCGACCGGCCACACUGGGACUGAAACACGGCCCAAACUCCUACGGGAGGCAGCAGUGGGGAAUAUUGCACAAUGGGCGAAAGCCUGAUGCACCGACCCCCCGUGAGGGAUGACGGCCUUCGGGUUGUAAACCUCUUUCUGCAGGGAAAAAACGAAAGUGACGGUACCUGCAGAACAAGCGCCGGCUAACUACGUGCCAGCAGCCGCGGUAAUACGUAGGGCGCAAGCGUUGUCCGGAAUUAUUGGGCGUAAAGAGCUCGUAUGCGGCUUGUCACGUCGGUUGUGAAAGCCCGGGGCUUAACCCCGGGUCUGCAGUCCAUACGGGCA